GAGAAAUGGCUUCAGAUCAUCAGUGAAGGUUUAUAAACCCUCCAUUCCCCUGUUGAAGACACAUUGCUUCCAGAAAGUCCUGCUGCUGCUUUGAUUCUUCAUCACAAGAUGAAAUUCAUCCUUUUUACUUUGUUCCUCUGUGGAUUCAUCCUGGAAAUCAAUGCAGAUUUUCUCACCCCAAGAGUUCUUCGUGUGGCAUGUGAGGAAUCAUUGGCUGAAUAUGGUGUGAACAUGGGACAAUAUAUCUGCUGAGUGCUAAAUAUGGACGUAGUGACCAGACGACGUGCUCUUAUGAGAUACCUUACGACAAGAUAAAGAAUACUGGUUGUUCUACGAGGGCAGA